GUUGGACACGUGGAUGGCCCAAGAGCAGUCGGCAUUAUUGCUGUACUCCCGAGGGUAGCCUGGACUGGAGAUAACACCUGAGAGGCCAGCUACAGAGACGCGUUAGUGUUUUAUUGGCAGGUGAGAGUCCCAAAAUAGAAAAAUGCAGCAGCAGUCAACUUUAUCACUACCCCUUCUGCAAGACUGCACAAUAUAUGGCCAACAACCACAUCAAGGGUCAUGCUUCAGUGAGGCACAGAGAGUUCACAAUCAUGAAGUGCGGUUUGAGUUGUAGAAAUGUGACACACUUUAGUUGUUGCUAUUGCACGGUCACAAAAAUCAACAGAGCACAGUUUCUGGAGGAUCAGGUACUGUAUAGGCUAUCAGCAAAAGUAAUGUGCAUUCUUGUACACACGUUCCCACUUGCUGAGUAGUUUUAGAUAUCACUAACAACCGCUUUAGUAAUAGUGGCUUUUGUUUGCAUGCCUUUGGUGGUAUUGUUAAAGGGGGGUGUAAUUUGUCUUGCCCACCCAAUGAGACACUGUUCUUAAUCUUUAUUUUUCCUUAUUCUUCAAGGAAGCAGAUGUUUUUCUAAGGGACGCUCUAGAGGCUGCAAGGUGGUGCAAAUGCCAAACAUUUAUAGGCACCAUUUCCCUCCUUAGUGUAUUGGGAUGGACGAGGAAGACCACAUAACAACUCUUAAAGAGCUAUGUUUGUAUGAUGGCCUCAAUGAAGAAGAAAAUAUUCUCCUCAUGGAACCAUUCAUGUUCUCACUCCAGUUAUAGAGUGAUUAUGAGAUUCUCUGUGUGGAGGCAGUUGACAACACCAAAAUGAAAGUCUUUGCCUCUUUUGAGAAGCAGGAGUGAAGGAGUUGUCAAACCUUGUUUUUGAUUGCUGUGUUAAUUUUUUCAAUUGUUAAUUGUGUUAUUUUGUUUGAGUAAAGAUGAAGUAGAAGUCACCUGCAUCUCUGAUUUUUUUUUUCUACUGGAGCUGGUUUUACUUAAUAUACAAAGCACAUUCAGCUUGUCUAUAUGGUAUAGUCUGUCUUGUAUAAUUUCAUUUAAUUCAGCUAACACGUCAAUUUGCAACUGCAUCCUUAUUUCUUUAUAUGCAGGCAAUGUUUGUACUGUAUUCCAAAUGUACUGGUGUAAUAUGAUUUCUAAGCUGCAGCGUUCAUAACAGUUAGUACUUCAUGCAGUAUUGAUGUUUGUGAAUGUGCUGCACGGCUUCCGCCACCAGGUAGUGCCUCUGAGUAAGUAAAAUUGUAUUGUCACCUGCACAAUCCUGCACAGUAUAACAUAUGGUGAA